GAGUUUGGAUCCUGGCUCAGGACGAACGCUGGCGGCGUGCCUAAUACAUGCAAGUCGAACGAACGGAGGAAGAGCUUGCUCUUCCAAAGUUAGUGGCGGACGGGUGAGUAACACGUGGGCAACCUGCCUGUAAGUUGGGGAUAACUCCGGGAAACCGGGGCUAAUACCGAAUGAUAAAGUGUGGCGCAUGCCACGCUUUUGAAAGAUGGUUUCGGCUAUCGCUUACAGAUGGGCCCGCGGUGCAUUAGCUAGUUGGUAGGGUAAUGGCCUACCAAGGCAACGAUGCAUAGCCGACCUGAGAGGGUGAUCGGCCACACUGGGACUGAGACACGGCCCAGACUCCUACGGGAGGCAGCAGUAGGGAAUCUUCCGCAAUGGACGAAAGUCUGACGGAGCAACGCCGCGUGUAUGAAGAAGGUUUUCGGAUCGUAAAGUACUGUUGUUAGAGAAGAACAAGGAUAAGAUUAACUGCUUGUCCCUUGACGGUAUCUAACCAGAAAGCCACGGCUAACUACGUGCCAGCAGCC
rnacentral:rRNA from 1 species